GACGAACGCUGGCGGCGUGCUUAACACAUGCAAGUCGAACGAUGAAGCCGGAGCUUGCUCUGGUGAAUUAGUGGCGAACGGGUGAGUAACACGUGAGUAACCUGCCCUUGACUCUGGGAUAACUGCGGGAAACUGUAGCUAAUACCGGAUACGACCCUCGGAGGCAUCUCCUGGGGGUGGAAAGAAUUUCGGUCAAGGAUGGACUCGCGGCCUAUCAGCUAGUUGGUGAGGUAAAGGUUCACCAAGGCGACGACGGGUAGCCGGCCUGAGAGGGUGACCGGCCACACUGGGACUGAGACACGGCCCAGACUCCUACGGGAGGCAGCAGUGGGGAAUAUUGCACAAUGGGCGCAAGCCUGAUGCAGCAACGCCGCGUGAGGGAUGACGGCCUUCGGGUUGUAAACCUCUUUUAGCAGGGAAGAAGCGAAAGUGACGGUACCUGCAGAAAAAGCACCGGCUAACUACGUGCCAGCAGCCGCAGAA
rnacentral:rRNA from 1 species